AACGAACGCUGGCGGCAUGCCUAACACAUGCAAGUCGAACGAAGGCUUCGGCCUUAGUGGCGCACGGGUGCGUAACGCGUGGGAAUCUGCCCUUAGGUUCGGAAUAACAGUUAGAAAUGACUGCUAAUACCGGAUGAUGACGUAAGUCCAAAGAUUUAUCGCCUGAGGAUGAGCCCGCGUAGGAUUAGCUAGUUGGUGUGGUAAAGGCGCACCAAGGCGACGAUCCUUAGCUGGUCUGAGAGGAUUAUCAGCCACACUGGGACUGAGACACGGCCCAGACUCCUACGGGAGGCAGCAGUGGGGAAUAUUGGACAAUGGGCGCAAGCCUGAUCCAGCAAUGCCGCGUGAGUGAUGAAGGCCUUAGGGUUGUAAAGCUCUUUUACCCGUGAUGAUAAUGACAGUAGCGGGAGAAUAAGCCCCGGCUAACUCCGUG
rnacentral:rRNA from 1 species